ACGGGUGAGUAACAUGUGGGAAUCUACCUGAAGGUUCGGAAUAACUGCGGGAAACUGUAGCUAAUACCGGAUGUGUCUGCAAAGAGAAAGAUUUAUCGCCUUCAGAUGAGCCCGCACUAGAUUAGCUAGUUGGUGAGGUAAUUGCUCCACCAAGGCUACGAUCUAUAGCUGAUUUGAGAGGAUGAUCAGCCACACUGGGACUGAGACACGGCCCAGACUCCUACGGGAGGCAGCAGUAGGGAAUAUUGGACAAUGGGGGAAACCCUGAUCCAGCAAUGCCGCGUGAGUGAAGAAGGCCUUCGGGUUGUAAAGCUCUUUCAUCAAUGAUGAUAAUGACAUUAGUUGAAGAAGAAGCCCCGGCUAACUUCGUGCCAGCAGCCCGCGGUAAUACGAAGGGGGCCUAGCGUUUGUUCGGAAAUCACUGGGCGUAAAAGCGGUAUGUAGGCGGAUCAAAAAGUUUAGAUGUGGAAAUCCCCUGGGGCUCAACCCAGGAAACUGCAUUU
rnacentral:rRNA from 1 species